AGGAGGGUGAUGCUGAGGACGAGGAAGACGAUGAGGGAGAUGAUACCCACCUCUGGGGAGGAAAACCACCCCAGCGUGCCAACCAUCCCUAACGGAGCCAUUGUCCUAGUGCUCUAAAGAAGAAAAAGAAAGCAAAAUCCAUGAACAAACACCGUGUAUUCUGCUCUUCCACCGACUGCUGUCAGUCCUUCAGCUGCCUCCUCUUUAUGUGGCAUUCAGACCAGUUAGGGAGGGACUCUUUGCACUGGUAUCCUGUCUGUCAUGAAGGAGGUGCUGACACCAGCCCAUAAACAGCCCUUUGUGUUGUUUAUCAUCUCCCAACUACGUCUGCACCUGAGUUCUUCAGCACCUGACAUGCCUGUGGCUUCCAGGAAUGUUGGAAUGCAUCUUUUAGUCGAACAUAGUGGCACAGUGACCUGAAAAGAUGCAUCAUCAAUAGGAAAAAAAACAAGAAAUCAAUGCAAAAAGUUGUUUGAACUGACUUAUAAUCCACAUUUAAGGUGGGUGAACCAGCCGCUGAUGUUAAUUCAUGUGCGGACUGUUGGUUUCUGUUGGAGAAAAGCUAAUUCAAUACGCAUUUAAACAAUAUCUCCCUCUAGCAUCCGUUUACAUGACUGCAGAAAACUGGCAGCUCUUACCAAGCCAAGGAUAAUUUCAUGCUCUUUUCUUGAUACAUUUUAUUUACGCAGGCUUCUUUGAAUCCCUAACAAACGUUUUAUGUAGUAUUGCUGCUAAUAAUCAGGCCGUUUUCCCGGUCUUAUUGAGAUAUUUAAACUCCAGAUAAUCUGUAAAUAUCCAGAAAAUACGCCCUAAAAUACGCUGCUGCUGCAUUAGUUUCUCUAACUUGCUCUGCACUGACAGCUGAUUGGCUCUGGCCACUGAAAUUAUUCUCACAAGGGAGGAAUUAAAGUAAAACAGGAUCUUUCUUGUAAUGCGGGGCACGACUCGGGUCUGGAUGCAGACUGGGACCAGUCCAAUUAGAUUACUGAACUUCUGAGGUGCAAUUUCACUUCUGCACAUAGAAGUUAGAUAGAUAGAUAAAUCUGGAUGGCUGCUUUUGGCCUGCAGGCCUCAUGUUGGACACCCCUGGUCUACUGGCUCCAGACAGAUUUAAGAAUUAAUCUUAUGAUGGCAUUUUGUAAAAAUGUGAAUAAGCACACCUGCUGAGUGGUAAUAAUAGUUUUAGUUUGUCUGUUUCUUCUCCUCAUCCCAGCUGAUCCUGGUUCUUCCUCUUAAAUUUGAUUUAUUUUCUUCCCACUGUCACCAAAAUGCUUCCUACAAGGAUCUCAUGUGGAUUUGUUGGGCUUUUCCUAGAAUACAGGGGUGUCCAACAUGAGGCCCGUGGGCCAAAAGUGGUCCUCCAGAGGGUCCAAUCCGGUCCUCAAAGUGUAAAAAUUCCAGAGAAGACAUUAACUGCAGAUUGUAAAUUAGUAAAACUAUAAAUUUAAAAUAAUUUCUAGACCAUGACAAGUUGUUUUCAUCAUAAAGUAAAAUACUAGAUUGUUCAUUGUUGUUUUGAGGUUUCGUGUCUCAUUUUUGUAAUAUUUUGUCUUGUUUUUGUUGUUUUUUGUCUUUUUUGAAGUAAAAUCCUCUAUGGUUCAGUUCCAGAUAUCUGUGACUAAAUGUUGUGUUCCUUUGUAGACACUCUGUGAUCUGGAAGUUGUAACGUGGAAAUGAUAAACUGAGGUUGAAUGUUGCUGGAAUUGAAUUUAUUUUUCUUAACAAAAUGCGGAGUUGUGGUUAUUUAUAGGUUAUUAUGCUGUGAUUUUACUGGUCCGAUCCACUGGAGAUCAAACUGGACUGAAUAUGGAACCUGAACUAUGAUGAGUUUGAUUCUCCUGCUAUAAUACAUGUAAUAUUAUAAGGUUUUGACCUUAAUA